GUAAAUCAAGAAACAUUUCAAAUAAAAUGCACGUUUGUGUGGAAUAAAAAUCCCUUUGUGCCAUGGUCUGACAGCACACAAAAACUGCCAGCCUCGUGAAAGCAUCUCUCUCAGCUAUAUCUCAGACAAUCGCACCAUUCAACAGCAUACUGGCUGAUGGGGCCUUGGAGAAUCCAGUACAAUUUUAGUGAAGACUGAGGUCAACAAAAAGAAAAUAAAUAUGUACAGUACUCCUGUACCACGUGGUGAUUCUGGUUGGCUAAGUGAUUUCAAGAUCUCAAGAUUCAGAAUUAGAAAACUUUAUUAAUCCUGGAGGGAAAAAAAAAAACAUGGAGCAAUCCAGAGCUCAGAAGCAUUGGCGUCAGCAGCAGUACUGUUAAGGACCACUUAAGUCUGUCCAGGGUGUAUCCCAGCCUUGUGCCCCAUGCUCCCUGGAAUAGGCUCCCGGACUCUCUGCAACCCUGAGCAGGAUAAGCAAUUGGAAU